GCAGAAUAUUGUCAUUUAACUCAACAUAUCAAUGUGUUAUUUUGACACACAAAAACAUUAAAAAAUAGGGUCAUGUUUUAUAUCACUUCAAAUAACUGUACUGGCUAGAGAUUUGUUAACGGUGACGUUUAAGUGCAUGUCAGAAAGUGACAUACAAAUACAUUUAUUGCAAAAAUGACAGAUGUAUUCUUGAAUCCAUUUAAAUUGUUCAUGUUGAUCUGUUUAUUGUAAAAAGCAGAAAGUUUGUACAUUUUGUCAAUAAACCUAAUUUGCAAUGGGGGUGCGAUAAUUUUAAGUGCAAAUGUCAAUCCUCCCUGGAUCCCCAUAAAACAAACUGACACAAUUAUGGUUUGCUUUCUUCAGAGUCCACAGGACACCGACCACAUGUACAGCAAGAGGCCUUACAGCUUUCCACCCAGAGAGCAUGUUAAUGACUAUAAUGACAGCAUGGACUAACAUGAUGUGGUCACCACAACCAGAGACGUUGGGAUCCUGAGUGAAGACGCAUCUUUCCACAGGCUUGUGGUGAGGACAUGCAAAGGAUCAACAAACAACAAAUCUUAUUUGAUAUACUUAACCAGAAUAAUUAGGUUUAACAUCUGAAUGCUGUUUGAUCAAAUUUUAGGAAAGGGCUCAGCAAGCUGAACACCAUAGAAGAGUCACUAGUGACCUUCAUGUAACGUUCAUCACUCAGGAUAACGGUCUGCUGCAACAUCUUGAAGCGGUCAUCACAUGAAAAGUUGCAUCCUCCUGGGCAACAUCAAAGUGCAGGGUGAUCAUCUUUGAGGAGGAUGAGCAGCUGGACAGAGUGCUGGGCUUCUUCACAAGCCUGGUUGAAGCACAGACAACCAGGUGUCACAAUCACGUGGCAUUUGUUAUGGAUGUGCUUCUGCCAGAGGCAACAGUCCACGCCCUUUCAGCUGUCCAUGCAUGUUCCAUUGACAGAGCCACAGAAGUGUAUAAAUGUGGACUGCAGUAUGACUUGAGUGAAAAACGGCUGUUGGCUCAUUACAUGACAAACAACAUGAGCAAGGAGGCAAAACAGCAACUAGAAAAAUAUGCUGAAAAACUCAGAAGAGCUCUGGACUCUGAGGAGCUUUUAAAGAGGCUUUAGUAUGUAUGUACGGUGAAUUAAAAAAUAGUCUGUGAAAUGAUAAUGUUUUAUUUUAUUGCCAAUAAAAGUUGUUGCUGGCUAAUUCAUUUGUCUCAACUUUUGUGUUUUGAGGUACAUAUUUUAAAGACCUGUGUAUGGUCAUAUUUAUAAAUACAUAAAUACAUUUUAUUUGUGUCAAAGGGCCAGCAGUCUUUUCUGUUAACCCAUAAGAAAUCAUCACCUUAGAGUGAUAAUUAUGGCAUCUGAUGUAGUAGGCCAAGCUCUGUGACAGUGUGGCUCUUACAAAAACGGCUGGUGGAAACAACAUUUUAAUCGAAAUGACUACUACUAAUUAUUAUUAUUAUUACUGUAAAUAUUUUAUUUUAUUGAGUUUAAAAUAACCUUGUGCACAUACAUUAGUCACUUAUAUAAAAAAUGAAAAGAUGCAUGCACCAGAUUUAGCAGGCCUAUCUAAUCUUUUAUCAGAUUAAUCUUUUAUCCCAAUCUUUUAUUUUUUUU
ensembl:lncRNA